GAAAUAAGGCCCGACGGGCCCCGGGGCGCGUGCGCGGACCGACACUGUCAGCUCCUAACGCCGCAGGUUCCUCCUGGUCCCCGAGGCCCCCGGUCGGGCGUUGCCUGCCCCGCGCGGGCGGCCGGGCCGAGGGACGAUGGUCAGUGGACGGACGGCGCCAGGGAGCAGUGCCCACGCGCGGCAGGGCGGUACCUUCAGGCCUCCAGGUACGGGCGCUCCUCGCCCGGACGCUGCUGUGUGUGAAUGGGCGCGAGGGGACUCCCCUGCGGGGCGGACGCCUGAACACGAGGCUGUGGAGGAGGACGCUGUAGGGUGCGCGGACUCACGCGGAACAUGCCAGAGGCUCAGCCAGCCACGGCGCUCCCAGCGUGGAGGGCGAGGGGCAUCCGGGAGCGGCCGGGAGGGCUCGGUCACCCCUCAAGCUGUCACCCCAGUCCCACAACCAGCACCCCGAUCCUAUCGCAGUCCCACAGCCGACACCCCGAUCCCACCCCUGCCCAACAGCCGGCACCCACCCCAAUCCCAUAGCUAACACCCCGGUCCCACCGCUGUCCCACGGCCGGCACCCCGAUCCCACCCCAGUCCCGCAGCUGGCACCCCGAUCCCACCCCAGCCCAACAGCUGGCACCCACCCCGAUCCCACCGCUGUCCCACAGCCGGCACCCCGAUCCCACCCCAGUCCCGCAGCCGGCACCCCGAUCCCACAGCCGGCACUCACCCCGAUCGCAUAGCAUAGCUGAUACCCCGAUCCCACCCCAGUCCCAUAGCCAGCACCCCGAUCCCACCCCAGUCCCAUAGCCAGCACCUCGAUCCCAUAGAUGACACCCCGAUCCCGCCCCAGUCCUAUAGCCCGCACCCCGAUCCCACCCGAGUCCCGCAGCCGGCACCCCAUCCCACCCAUGUCCCACAGUCGGCACCCCGAUCCCACUCGGAUCCGGCAGCCAGCUUGGAUCCUGUGGCCCUCCUCCAGCCCCCAGGGCUCAUUUAUAUGUUUUAUUGGCAGAGGCUGGGGCUGGCUCUGUUGGCCUCUGUGCUGGGUUUCUUCCUCUGCACCGCAGGACUGGCUCUCCUGACCUCUCCAGGUGUCAUCGAACACCCUUGUGCUUGCUGUCACCCGCUGCCUGUCUGCAGGAUCCCGGAUUCCGUAUCAGGGGACCGAAAUUAGUCGGAAAAUAGGAAGCAGGUGCUCGCUUGGAUGGAACCCUGACCCUGUGCUCACACUUGUAGGAGGAGGGCUCUGCAGGCCGCCUCCCGGAACGGGAGGUUCCCAAGCCACUGCACUUCGGAGGGGCUGUAAUUAGAGUUGCACAUUCAUUCAGUUCCCAGUAAAGUAGAACGUGCUCCAGCCAGUGAGGAAAAGGUGUUUUUAAAAAUUAGAUUGGCCGAGUGCGGUGGCUCAUGCCUUUUACCUCAACACUUUGGGAGACAAAGGUGGGAGGAUCACCUGUGGCCAGGAGUUCAAGACCAGCCUGGGCAACAGAGCCUGUCUCUGGGGAAGAAUAAAAAAAAAAAUUGAGCCUUU
rnacentral:lncRNA from 10 species